rnacentral:rRNA from 1 species
GCACAAUGGGCGAAAGCCUGAUGCAGCAACACUGCGUGAAGGAUGAAGGCCUUCGGGUCGUAAACUUCUUUUCUUGGGGAAUAAUCUUGAAGUUACCCAAGGAAUAAGCACCGGCUAACUACGUGCCAGCAGCCGCGGUAAUACGUAGGGUGCAAACGUUAUCCGGAUUUACUGGGCGUAAAGAGCUCGUAGGUGGAUUAGAAAGUCAGAUAUUAAAGACCCAAGCUCAACUUGGGGAGUGUAUCUGAAACUCUUAGUCUAGAGGUACGCAGGGGAGAACGGAACUUACGGUGUAGCGGUGGAAUGCGUAGAUAUCGUAAGGAACGCCAAUGGUGAAGACAGUUCUCUGGGCGAUACCUGACACUGAGGAGCGAAAGCGUGGGUAGCGAUCGGGAUUAGAUACCCCGGUAGUCCACGCCGUAAACGAUGCAUACUAGGAACUCGGAGUAUCGACCCUCUGGGUUUCGAAGCUAACGCGUUAAGUAUGCCGCCUGGGUAGUACGGCCGCAAGGCUA